ensembl:snRNA U6 U6 spliceosomal RNA
GUGCUUGCUUUGGCAGCCCAUACACUAAAAAUUAGAACAAUACAAAGAGUAAGCAUGGCCCCUGUGCAAGAAUGACACGUAAAAUGGAAAUGUUAUAGUAAUAAUA